rnacentral:rRNA from 1 species
AGUGAACGUUGGCGGCGUGGAUUAGGCAUGCAAGUCGAGCGAGAACCGUAGCAAUACGGGGACAGCGGCGAAAGGGACAGUAAUGUGUAGGUACCUACCUCCGGGUUCGGGAUAGCUGCGGGAAACUGCAGGUAAUACCGAAUAACGUCUCCGGACCAAAGGUGUGAUUCUACCUGGAGAGGGGCCUGCAUCCUAUUAGCUUGUUGGCGGGGUAACGGCCCACCAAGGCGACGGUGGGUAGCGGGUGUGAGAGCACGACCCGCGUCAUUGGGACUGGGACACUGCCCAGACACCUACGGGUGGCUGCAGUCGUGAAUCUUCGGCAAUGGGCGCAAGCCUGACCGAGCGACGCCGCGUGCGGGAUGAAGGCCUUCGGGUUGUAAACCGCUGUCGUAGAGGAGGAAAUGCAGGGGGGUUCUCCCCUCUGUUUGACCUAUUCUAGGAGGAAGUACGGGCUAAGUUCGUGCCAGCCGCCGCGGUAA